rnacentral:rRNA from 1 species
GUGACCUCAAAUCAGGUAGGACUACCCGCUGAACUUAAGCAUAUCAAUAAGCGGAGGAAAAGAAACUAACAAGGAUUCCCCUAGUAACUGCGAGUGAAGCGGGAAAAGCUCAAAUUUAAAAUCUGGCAG